AUACGGAGGAUGCGAGCGUUAUCCGGAUUUAUUGGGUUUAAAGGGUGCGUAGGCUGUGCGUUAAGUCAGGGGUGAAAUGCCGUCGCUCAACGACGGAGCUGCCCUUGAUACUGGCGUGCUGGAGUACGGAUGCCGUUGGAGGAAUGGGUGGUGUAGCGGUGAAAUGCUUAGAUAUCACUCAGAACACCGAUUGCGAAGGCAUCUGACGAAUCCGUCACUGACGCUGAGGCACGAAAGCGUGGGGAUAGAACAGGAUUAGAUACCCGGGUAUUCCACGCCGUAAACGAUGAUGACUAACCGUCGGCGAUAGACAGCCGGUGGCCAAGCGAAAGCGAUAAGUCAUCCACCUGGGGAGUACGUCGGCAACGAUGAAACUCAAAUGAAUUGGCGGGG
rnacentral:rRNA from 1 species